rnacentral:rRNA from 1 species
AGAGUUUGAUCUUGGCUCAGGAUGAACGCUGGCGGCGUGCUUAAUACAUGCAAGUCGAACGGAAAUCACGUAUGAAUACUGGAAGUUAGUGGCCUUAGGGUGCGAAACACGUAUGCCACCUACCUUUACCUGGCGAAUACCCCCGGGAAAUCCUGAUUAAUACACCAUAACAUUACAAGAGGGCAUCCUCUAAUAAUUAAGGAGUUUCGGUUAUGGAUGCUGAUGCGGGAUAUUAGUUAGUUGGGGAGGUAACGGCUCAUUAAGGCAACGAUGUCUAGGGGUCCUGAAAGGGUUAUCCCCCACACUGGUACUGAGACACGGGACAGACUCCUACGGACUGAAACACUAACGAAUAUUGUACAAUGGGCGCAAGCCUGAACCAUUGAUGCCGCGUGAAAGAAGACAGCGCUAUGCGUUGUAAGCUUCUUUUGUGACGUAAUAAAUGUAAGUUCUGGUACUUACUUGAAAGGACCUGAGGAAUAAUACCCGGCUAACUCCAUGCCACCUUCCGAGGUAAUACCGAGGAUGCACGCGUUAUCCGGAUUCAUUGGGUUUAAAGGGUGAGCGUUCGGAUUGAUUACUGGGGGGUGAAAUCACCACAGCUCAACUGUGGAACUGCCUUUGAUACUGUCAGUCUAGAGUAUAGUUGAAGUUGGCGGAUGUGUCAUGUGACGGUGAAAUGCUUAGAUAUGAUCCUGAACACCGAUCGCGAUGCAGCUAGCUAAGCUAUAACUGACGCUCAUGCACGACUUUCUGGGGAGACACUGGAUUAGAUACCCUGAUAGUGGCGCUGUACACGAUUAUACUCGAUGUUGGCCAUACACAGACACGAUGUGACUAAGUGUAUGAGGUAUCCACCUGUUGUGUACGAUCGCUAGAUUGAAACUAUACGACUGACGGA